rnacentral:rRNA from 1 species
UUAAGAGGUUUUAUCAUGGCUCAGAUUGAACGCUGGCGGCAGGCUUAACACAUGCAAGUCGAGCGGAGAUGAGGUGCUUGCACCUUAUCUUAGCGGCGGACGGGUGAGUAAUGCUUAGGAAUCUGCCAUUUAGUGGGGGACAACAUUCCGAAAGGAAUGCUAAUACCGCAUACGUCCUACGGGAGAAAGCAGGGGAUCUUCGGACCUUGCGCUAAAUGAUGAGCCUAAGUCGGAUUAGCUAGUUGGUGGGGUAAAGGCCUACCAAGGCGACGAUCUGUAGCGGGUCUGAGAGGAUGAUCCGCCACACUGGGACUGAGACACGGCCCAGACUCCUACGGGAGGCAGCAGUGGGGAAUAUUGGACAAUGGGCGGAAGCCUGAUCCAGCCAUGCCGCGUGUGUGAAGAAGGCCUUUUGGUUGUAAAGCACUUUAAGCGAGGAGGAGGCUACUAGUACUAAUACUACUGGAUAGUGGACGUUACUCGCAGAAUAAGCACCGGCUAACUCUGUGCCAGCAGCCGCGGUAAUACAGAGGGUGCGAGCGUUAAUCGGAUUUACUGGGCGUAAAGCGUGCGUAGGCGGCUUUUUAAGUCGGAUGUGAAAUCCCCGAGCUUAACUUGGGAAUUGCAUUCGAUACUGGGAAGCUAGAGUAUGGGAGAGGAUGGUAGAAUUCCAGGUGUAGCGGUGAAAUGCGUAGAGAUCUGGAGGAAUACCGAUGGGCGAAGGCAGCCAUCUGGCCUAAUACUGACGCAGUAGUUCGAACAGCAU